GGUCUCGUAGCUCAAUGGUUAGAGCAUCGGUCUUAUAUGCCGCAGGUUGAGGGUCCCUUCGAAACCA
rnacentral:tRNA from 1 species